UGAACAUUUCUCACCAAAUGUCGCUUA
rnacentral:piRNA from 1 species